UAAAAGAACUAAAUAGGGAAGCAUUUAUAUUUCAAGAUCUCUAAGAAGAGGUAGCAAAUAUUUAAUAUGGAACAAAAACCUUGUGAAUCAAAUAAUGAAGAUUUUUUAUCAACUAAUGGCAUCACAUCCAAUGCAGGUUCUUCAGGUCCGUUUUUUAUGUCAUCUAUUCGUGGAACAAUAAUUGAAAACACAUCUUCAACUGGGACUUUGACACAAAUUCCUUUUUUCCCUAAAUAUGAAGUGGAACUUGAUUCUCAUAGAAAAGUCAUUCCUUACCCUGGAAAGGAACACAUUGAACGUGUUUUGGAAGAAUAUUCACAUCAAGUCAAAGAUUUGCAGAGAAGACUAAACGAAAGCAAUGAAUUGCAUGAGAAACAAAAAUUUUACUUAAGACAAUCAGUCAUUGAUUUGCAAACAAAACUUCAAGAGAUGCAGAUGGAGAGAGAUGCCAUGGCUGACAUCAGACGAAGGGAGAGUCAAUCCCAGGAGGAUUUAAGAAAUCAGCUUCAAAAUACAGUUCAUGAACUUGAAGCUGCCAAAUGCCUUAAGGACGAUAUGUUGAAAGAUAGCAACACACAGAUAGAGCAGCUCAGAAAGAUGAUGCUUAGUCAUGAAGGAGUGCUUCAGGAAAUCCGAUCAGUCCUAGUUGACUUUGAAGAAGCCUCAGGCAAGAAAAUAUAUGAACAUGACAACAUGUCUACCAUCCACUUUCGCAGCAUGGGCUCAGCUAUUAGUAAAAUCCUAAGAGAAUUAGACACAGAGAUUUCUUAUCUUAAAGGGAGGAUAUUUCCAGUAGAGGAUCAGCUUGAAGCACUGAAAUCUGAAUCACAGAACAAAAUGGAACUACUUCUUCAACAACAUCAAGAUAGGAUUGAGCAGUUAAUAAGUGAACAUGAAAUUGAAAUAACAGGACUUACUGAGAAAGCUAGCAGUGCUCGGAGCCAAGCCAAUAGUAUCCAAAGUCAACUGGAAAUCAUUCAAGAACAAGCAAGGAACCAAAAUUCAAUGUAUAUGCGUCAACUGAGUGACCUGGAAUCUACUGUUUCUCAGCUGCGUUCUGAAUUAAGGGAAGCCAAAAGAAUGUAUGAAGACAAGAUUGAAGAGCUGGAGAAGCAGUUAGUUCUUGCAAACUCAGAGCUAACAGAAGCACGGACGGAACGUGAUCAGUUCAGUCAGGAAUCUGGAAAUCUGGACGAUCAACUUCAAAAGCUCUUGGCUGAUCUACAUAAACGAGAGAAGGAGCUGAGUCUGGAGAAGGAGCAGAAUAAGCGUCUGUGGGACCGGGACACGGGCAACAGCAUCACUAUCGACCACCUGCGGCGGGAGCUGGACGACAGGAACAUGGAGGUGCAGCGCCUGGAGGCCCUCCUCAAGGCCAUGAAGAGCGAGUGUCAGGGCCAGAUGGAGCGGCAGAUGGCAGCAAUUCAGGGAAAGAAUGAAAGUCUAGAAAAAGUGUCCUCCUUGACUGCUCAGCUUGAAUCCACCAAAGAGAUGCUCCGCAAAGUAGUAGAAGAGUUGACAGCCAAGAAGAUGACCCUGGAGAGCUCCGAGAGGACCGUGUCGGACCUGACAGCUUCCCUCCAGGAAAAAGAGCGAGCCAUUGAAGCCACCAACACAGAGAUCACAAAGCUGCGCUCCCGGGUGGACUUGAAGCUGCAGGAGCUGCAGCACCUGAGGAAUGAAGGGGAUCACCUCAGAAACGUGCAGACAGAAUGCGAGGCCCUCAGGCUGCAGAUGGCGGAGAAGGACAAAGUGAUCGAGAUCCUGCGACAACAGAUUGAAAACAUGACGCAGCUGGUGGGCCAGCACGGGCGGACGGCUGGUGCUAUGCAAGUAGAGAAAGCCCAGCUGGAGAAGGAGAUCAACGACAGGAGACUGGAGCUACAGGAAGUUAAGAUUUUAAAAGAUAAAAAAGAUGCAAAGAUACGGGAGCUUGAAGCCAGAGUGAGUGACCUGGAGCUGGAAAAGGUGAAGCUGGUGAAUGCAGGCUCUGAGCGACUCCGUGCGGUGAAAGACAUCAAACAAGAGAGAGAUCAUUUAUUAAGUGAGGUGAAAGCUAGUAGGAAUGAGUUAAACAGUCUUACAGAGGACUAUGAAGUCUUGAAAAGGAAUUUUCGAAACAAAAGUGAAGAAAUGGAAACUACUACAAAUAAGCUGAAAAUGCAAUUAAAAUCUGCACAGUCUGAGCUAGAACAAACAAGAAAUACAUUAAAGUCAAUGGAAGGAUCUGAUGGUCAUGCUAUGAAAGUGGCAAUGGGGAUGCAAAAACAAAUUACGGCUAAAAGAGGUCAGAUAGAUGCCCUUCAGAGCAAGAUACAAUUUUUGGAAGAGGCAAUGACGAAUGCAAACAAGGAAAAGCAUUUUCUAAAAGAAGAGAAGACAAAAUUAAGCCAGGAAUUGAGUACUGUUGCAACAGAGAAAAACAAGAUGGCAGGAGAACUAGAAGUCCUGAGAUCUCAGGAACGCCGAUUGAAAGAAAAGGUUGCUAAUAUGGAAGUUGCUCUUGAUAAGGCAUCUUUGCAGUUUGCAGAAUGUCAAGAUAUAAUACAGCGUCAGGAACAAGAAUCUGUGCGCCUAAAACUUCAACACACUUUGGAUGUAAAAGAACUUCAGGGCCCUGGGUACACCUCAAAUCCUUCUGUGAAACCACGCCUUCUACAGCCGUCAUCUGCUGCCCGUUCUCAUUCUAAUGUACCAUCUUCCCAGUCUACAGCCAGCUUCCUGUCUCAUCACUCAAUGAAACCUAACACUAAGGAAGAUCCAACGAGGGACCUCAAACAGCUUCUCCAGGAGUUGAGAAGUGUGAUCAACGAGGAGCCGGCCAUGCCUCUGGGAAAGAGCGAGGAAGACGGGAGAGCACCAUCUCUGGGGGUCUCCUAUGUGGCUGUAAGCAACAACUCAUUAAGGGAAUCCACUGAAGGCAGCAAAUCAAGUGAAACUUUUAGCAGAGAGCCAGUCACAUUACACACAGGAGAGUUGGAAGAUCCACCUGGUUGCUUUGCAUUCCCAUCUGCAGGAAGUCCAUCUGUGAAAAAUUCAGCUUCUCGUUCAUUCCAUUCUUCUCCUAAGAAGUCUCCAGUUCACUCACUCCUAACUAGUUCGGUAGAAGAUUCUAUAGGUUCCACACCACAGUAUAGAUCCACCAAGCCUGUUCAUUCACCUGAUUCUGUUAAAGCUUCACAGUCUCAGCCAAUAGAAACAACCGGAAAAACAUGCAGGAAGCUUCAGAACAGACUGGAAAGCUUGCAAACUCUGGUAGAAGAUUUACAGCUGAAGAACCAAGCUUAAUAAACUUCUUUCACAUGAAAGUGAAAGAUGGGGCAUAAUGCCCAGAAGAGAAGGACAAACUCUAAGGAUGUGAAGCAAAUAAAGGGUGACCAGAAGAACAGAUGCAAAAAUGUUUAAAUUGUGCCAAAGACAACAGGAACGAUGUCACAGAAGCCAACCUGUCCAAAAAAGCCUGUACUCCUGUUUCGUAGUACAGAUGUCACUGAGAAACUGCUGCCCAGCUAGUGGCUCUGUUUCCCAGCCCCAUUUCCUCUCCAUCUGUGUGUGACCGCCUGACCAGUUUUCACUAAUGGCACGUGGACACAGCAGUAUGUGGCGCCUUCUGGCCCAGAGCUUUAGUGGGGUCUUUCCUUACUUUAUUUCCCCUUCCGUGGACUGGUUAGAGAGGACAGUGAUGAAGGGGAUGAAGAAGCCACAGGACAGGAGCCUCGGUGACAACCUGCAAGGAGAGCUGCCCUCCUGCCAGGAGCACCCACUGCUGUUUGGUGAGCGAGAAGUAAGCUGCUGUGUUGCAGCUUCUUACACAGUGGCGUUCGGCCUAACCAGUGCAGGUGACAAGCUAAGUAGGACUUCAGUCCUCCCAUGGCCCUCAUGCUUCUCCCUCUAAGCACAUCCAAUUUUAAAUAACACAUUUCAGAAAUAUAAAGUUUAGUGUUAUAUG